rnacentral:rRNA from 1 species
CACGUAGGGUGCGAGCGUUGUCCGGAAUUAUUGGGCGUAAAGAGCUCGUAGGCGGUGUGUCGCGUCGGCCGUGAAAACCUGCAGCUUAACUGUGGGCUUGCGGUCGAUACGGGCAUCACUGGAGUUCGGCAGGGGAGACUGGAAUUCCUGGUGUAGCGGUGAAAUGCGCAGAUAUCAGGAGGAACACCGGUGGCGAAGGCGGGUCUCUGGGCCAAAACUGACGCUGAGGAGCGAAAGCGUGGGGAGCGAACAGG